UGGGGAAUAUUGCACAAUGGGGGAAACCCUGAUGCAGCGACGCCGCGUGAACGAAGAAGGUAUUCGUAUCGUAAAGUUCUGUCCUAUGGGAAGAUAAUGACAGUACCAUAGAAGAAAGCUCCGGCUAAAUACGUGCCAGCAGCCGCGGUAAUACGUAUGGAGCGAGCGUUGUCCGGAAUUAUUGGGCGUAAAGGGUACGCAGGCGGUUUAAUAAGUCGAAUGUUAAAGAUCGGGGCUCAACCCCGUAAAGCAUUGGAAACUGAUAAACUUGAGUAGUGGAGAGGAAAGUGGAAUUCCUAGUGUAGUGGUGAAAUACGUAGAUAUUAGGAGGAAUACCAGUAGCGAAGGCGACUUUCUGGACACAAACUGACGCUGAGGCUCGAAAGCGUGGGUAGCAAACAGG
rnacentral:rRNA from 1 species